rnacentral:rRNA from 1 species
GAUGAACGCUGGCGGCGUGCCUAAUACAUGCAAGUCGAGCGAACAGAUGAGGAGCUUGCUCCUCUGACGUUAGCGGCGGACGGGUGAGUAACACGUGGAUAACCUACCUAUAAGACUGGGAUAACUUCGGGAAACCGGAGCUAAUACCGGAUAAUAUAUUGAACCGUAUGGUUCAAUAGUGAAAGACGGUUUUGCUGUCACUUAUAGAUGGAUCCGCGCCGCAUUAGCUAGUUGGUAAGGUAACGGCUUACCAAGGCAACGAUGCGUAGCCGACCUGAGAGGGUGAUAGGCCACACUGGAACUGAGACACGGUCCAGACUCCUACGGGAGGCAGCAGUAGGGAAUCUGCCGCAAUGGGCGAAAGCCUGACGGAGCAACGCCGCGUGAGUGAUGAAGGUCUUCGGAUCGUAAAACUCUGUUAUUAGGGAAGAACAAAUGUGUAAGUAACUAUGCACGUCUUGACGGUACCUAAUCAGAAAGCCACGGCUAACUACGUG